GAUGGAGAGACUACUCCUGGUCUAUGGAAUGCUGUGUAUAUGGAAUCAUGGGAUUGGGUUUUUCUCAUUCAGCACAAUUCUCUAGAGAUUUAUUCAGUUGCUUUUUAGACUAAAUGCACUCCUUUGUCUUGGU